rnacentral:rRNA from 1 species
UACGUAGGGUGCGAGCGUUGUCCGGAAUUAUUGGGCGUAAAGAGCUCGUAGGCGGUCUGUCACGUCGGUUGUGAAACCCAAGGCUCAACCUGGGCCUGCAAUCGAUGCGGGCAGACUAGAGUACUGCAGGGGAGACUGGAAUUCCUGGUGUAGCGGUGAAAUGCGCAGAUAUCAGGAGGAACACCAAUGGCGAAGGCAGCUCGCUGGGACGUGACUGACGCUGAGACGCGAAAGCGUGGGGAGCAAACAGG